CACUGUAAAAAAUUAUUUAGCAGUUUAGUUGUUUCAAUGAAUUUUUUUAUGUUGACACAACUUGCAGUUACUGAAUUUGUUCAUUCAACUAAAAAUUGUAAGUUUUCAGUGUCUCAACUAGUUUGAAAGUUGACUGAACUAGGUUAUUUGUCCUCAUAACUAAAAAAAAAUUGUUGACUCAAUUCAAUAGCAAUAUCACGUUCACAACAUCACUUAACGCGAGAUCUCGUCAUUCUCGUGAAGGCUGUUGAAGAGAGAAGAAGGUCGUCAGCCAUUCUAGUCAGUUUCUCCUCAAAGUUUGGACAUUUUACUAGAAUACAACUUUGGUAAGUAAAAUAUUCGUAUUCAUUGGCUUAAUGUGUAAAAUUACAUUUGUUGUCUCAGAAGAGUAAGUAUGGUUUAAAGAGUCUUACAUUCUGUAUAUAAGUUACUGUAUGUAAAUGUUCGUUUCGCGGCACUCUGAAGCCUCAAAAUACAGGCGGUUCCACAGUAUUCUCCUUAUAAAUAUCAAAACAGAUAUUCCCCCAUGCGGGACAGCGGAGCUGAACUUAUGUGGAGAACAAUAAAAAUACAGUCUGUAUGUAUUAUUUGAGCCCAGAGCUGCGUUAGAGACCGUUCAAACAGAGCGCGAGAGCUCAAUGGAUCACUGUAUGGAUUAAGAACGGCGGGAAUUAAAAAAAAGGAACUGCUCUUAACCUGACAGCGUAAGACAUCCGUCAGAAUAUACAACGAUGAAAAAUUAGGAGAUAAAAAGAAGAUUCCUACUCGAACUGUGUCUUUUCUGCAUGUUAUAAGGGAAACAAAUGAGCACCUCCCUCAGAGUUCUUCCGGAGCGCGUAACUUAACGUUACAUUUGAUAUCGCUGACAUAAGCCUAGUGCUGAUGAUUAUUUUACAGUCUACAGUUCAGAUGAAGUUCUGAAGGUAGCGUUACAAACUCUUCUUUCAGUUUUCUGAAGUAACGUUAGUCAUUCAAGUGCCUCACUAGAACCUAGUACCCAGUGUAAUGCUGCGUGAAUAUCUGUUUUUAUAUAGUCUAUGGUGAAUAUACGGUCAUAAGUAAAUUGCAUGCGUUCAAAUCUACAUAUUUUAGAAUAAAAGUAAUAAUAGCAUAUAUCUUGUAUAAAUAGAGAUACAAUAACGAUCGACACAAAUGUGUUAAAUUUCCUUUUAUUGUGUUAUAAUUAUGUGUUGUGUCAUUUAAAAGCAUCGUCUGGAUGGUAUAGUUUGUCUUUGGCAUUUAAUACAAACUUGUCAAUACAUUUGACUUUCUCUGUAAAGAUUUAUUUAUAUGUAUGUUUAUUAUUUUACAGUGUUUUAACAUGUUUUUGUAUUUUUCAUGUUUAUGAUAUUUUGGGAUGACUGAAGAUUCAGCGCAGAAUUCAAUAAUCCUGUGGAUGGACCGCAGCGAGUCCUUUUGCAGUUAUCCAUCAAAAUGCUAUGCAGACAUAAUGGAAAUGGUAUUUACAUUGUAGAGCUUGGACAAAGUUCACACAGGCUCUGCGCAGGAAUUCAUCAAGGACAUGACUGCUGGGAUUACGCUUCUGGAUGACCAAACUGAGCACCAUCAGUCUGCAGUGAUGUGAUCCAGCCAUCCAGUGACAUUAAGGAUGUUGAGAAAGAAAUUGAAGAGGGCAUUCUGAUUGUAUCUGAAGAACAGCAACGUGAUGUGCUUCCCAAGGAAUAACCAACAUUGGUCUCAUUUGGACAUCCUGUCAUCAUCCUGUCAUCACCCAAGGCAUUGGACUCUUAAUGGGUCUGUAUGCAGAGAACAUCCACUACCUUCAGCUCAUUAAAUACACCAUUGAGGCUCUGCAAAAACUUGUGAAGACCAGCUGCUCCCACCAUGUGCUCGCUACAGCGGCAGGAACUGUAGGUGUGGGGGAGUGAAUGUCCACCGCUCUCACCACCCUCAACACCACAAAUAAGGUGUCCUUGAGCAAGGCACAACUUCUCCCCGGGCGCUGCAGCAUAAAUGGCUGCCCACUGCUCUGGGUGUGUGUUCACGGUGUGUGUUCACUGCUGUGUGUGUGCACUUUGGAUGGGUUAAAUGAAGAGCACAAAUGUAUGUCAUGUCACUUUCACUUUUCAGUGUUCAUGAUGUGUCCAUCAGCUCCACAGCACUCUUUUUAGAAUGUACAUUAAAGUUUAUCAUGUCAUGACUUGGAAUAUGCAUGUUCUCAUGUAAAAAAAUGUUGUUUCCCCUCUCAUUUUCUUAAACAGUAUGUACACAUUUUCAGUAUGUAGCAUUAUGAUGGGGGACGAGUUUGGAAACUUUCAAGAUCCUUCUGAUGUUAACACCUCUGUCUGGUCAUGUUGUGCUAUGAAAUUUAGAAUCUGACUAUUUAGAUCUUUGUGCUUCCAUGUGCAUUCAUUCCAUUUAUAUCUUAUUAUACAGAAGUACAGUACACUCAUUUUUUGUAACUAAUUGUGAUAUUAUAUUACAUAUAUCUUGGUUUCUCAUUUUGACCAUGACUUGCAUUAUGGUGGGGGGAGUGCAUGUGAACUUGUGCAGGGUUAAUAUGCAGAGUUCAACCUUCUGAUUUUCAUAUUGCAUUAUGAAAUUAAAAACAAUCCCUGUGGUUUUGAUCUGAUGAAUUGAAAUGCAACUAUUUGUUUCUCAAUCCCAUGCCAAUGUUAUUUAUUAUACAUCACACUUUCAAGUGUCGGUUCAGAUCUUUAGACGUGUUUGUAUUUUGCAUUUUUUGUUUUGUUUAUCAAUUAUCAGUUGAUGUGUUGACAGCAAAUUGCUUGUUCAAUUUAAAUGUGAAUGAAAGUGUUGUCUCUAUCAUUAAAUAAAUUACAUAAAAAAAAGUGUUUUGUCAUCUUUAUUUAAACAUUUAAGGCAGUGGGCUAAAAUUUGUUUAUGAUUAUUGAUCGAAGUAAAAAAAAAAAAAAAUCCCUGUUGACACAACAUGAUUUAGUUGACUGGACUAGAAAAUAAUAGUCAAGUCAACUUAAAGAAAUUUGUUACCUGGACUAACUCCACUCUAAUUUGAAGUUGUUUCAACAAGAAAUUUUUUGUCAAGAUAACAAAAAAUUUUUAGGUAGCGGGGUAACAAAAUAUUUUUAGUUGACUCAACAAAUUCUUUUUUAC